rnacentral:rRNA from 1 species
GGGCUCACACAAGCGGUGGAGGAUGUGGCUUAAUUCGAGGCUACGCGAAGAACCUUAUCCUAGAUUUGACAUGCUUGAGAAUCCCUAUGAAAAUAGAGAGUGCCCUUCGGGGAGCUCUUGCACAGGUGCUGCAUGGCUGUCGUCAGCUCGUGUCGUGAGAUGUCGGGUUAAGUCCCUUAACGAGCGAAACCCUUAUCUCUAGUUGCCAGCGGGUAAUGCCGGGGACUCUAGAGAGACUGCCGGUGUCAAACCGGAGGAAGGUGGGGAUGACGUCAAGUCCUCAUGGCCUUUAUGUCUAGGGCUGCACACGUCCUACAAUGGCAAGUACAACGAGUCGCAAUACCGCGAGGUGGAGCAAAUCUCUUAAAGCUUGUCUCAGUUCGGAUAGGAGUCUGCAACUCGACUCCUUGAAGUUGGAGUCGCUAGUAA